AACGAACGCUGGCGGCAUGCCUAACACAUGCAAGUCGAACGAGACCUUCGGGUCUAGUGGCGCACGGGUGCGUAACGCGUGGGAACCUGCCCUUAGGUUCGGAAUAACUCCCCGAAAGGGGUGCUAAUACCGGAUAAUGUCUUCGGACCAAAGAUUUAUCGCCUUUGGAUGGGCCCGCGUUGGAUUAGCUAGUUGGUAGGGUAAAAGCCUACCAAGGCGACGAUCCAUAGCUGGUCUGAGAGGAUGAUCAGCCACACUGGGACUGAGACACGGCCCAGACCCCCAGGGGGGGGAGCAGGGGGGAAUUUUGGACAGUGGGCGAAAGCCUGACCCAGAAAUGCCGGGAGAGUGUUGAAGGCCUGAGGUUUGUAAAGCUUUUUUACCCGGGAUGAUAAGAACGGAACGGGGAAAAAAAGCCCCGGCAAACCCCGU
rnacentral:rRNA from 1 species